ensembl:lncRNA novel transcript
ACCCGUUAGCACUCACUCCGUUUCCCCUCCCUGAGACCCCGGCAACCUAUUUGCUUAUUCUGGGCAUUUCAUGUAAACGGAAUCAUUACAAUAUGUGAUCUUUUGUGGCUGCGUCAUGUUUUCAAGGGUUCUUCAUGAUGCAGCACAUGUCAAUACUUGGUUUUUACUGCCAAAUUAUAUGCCAUCUAUGUAUAUGCCAGAUUUAUCCAUUCAUGACCUGUUUUCACUUUUCAGCUAUUAUGAGAAAUACCACUGCGAUGAGUCUUCACAUACAAGUGUGUAUGUGGACACAUAUUUUCAUUUCUUGGGGAUAUGCCUCAGAGUGGACUUGCUGGGACCUAUGGACGCUCUGUGUUCAGCAUUUUGAAGCAUUGCCCGACCGUUUUCUAAAGCAGGUGCACCAUUUGACGGUCCCACCAGCAGCAUGAGAGAGUUCCAGUGUCUCCACAUCCUCGUCAACACUCACUACCUGACUUUUUGGGUCUAGCUCUCCAGGCCAGGAAGCCGAACCAAAUCCACCUCCCUCAGGUGUGCCCGCGGGACCUGUGUGUGUGCAAGUUUCUAUCUUCCAGAAGGUUCCAGUGUCUGCCAUGGCUCUUGGCCUGCCAGGAAGUAUCCUUCUUACUACUUGUGAGGCUGAGGCUUUGUGUGCCAGAGUACAGGUGCCCGGCCAGUAUGGGUCUGAGGGUUGUGUGGGCAUUGGUUCAGCACACAAGCCACAACCCUUGUUCCUUAAAGGUGGGCGUGUUGUGGAAGCACAGGAAAGUUAUUCUCAAAUAUGACACCCAUGUAAGGCCUGGGCUCCACUAUUAAUUUGUCUGAUUAUAUCCUGGUGACAAGGAGGACAAAUUUCUACUGCAACAAUGCAAAUUACUACGUUUUUAUUAAAAGUAAAUGUCAGUAAAACUAUUUUUCCUGAAUUCUGAAGUGAGAAAAACACCAUUUAAAGAACGUUUUAAUGUUUGUGAAAGGAUAGUCUCCUAAAGUAGAUUGUUGCAGAUACCGGGUAAAAAUAAAAAUUAAAUAAAUUAAAGGUGAGAUAGAUCAAAGAAGAAGGGUUUUGUCUUAUUCCUGCCAGAAACAGAAUAUCAGAAACAACAUGAGCAUCCUCCUCCUUGCCUUUUCUUGGGCUGUGCUUUCAGCCUGCAGAUAUAACCAUUCUGGAGAGCAGUGAUGCCCCCAGAACCGCAUUUUUGGCUGGUGCAAAAUGGGGGGCAGUGGUUGUGUCUGGGGCCAAGUUUCUGUCCUGUAUAGCCUAGAGAUGGUUAUGUAGCGGGGGACUGAGCUACUAAGUGAAGGCAUAGAUAGUUAUGUAGAAACAGAGGAGGGUAGAAUCAACUCCAUGCUAGAUUGUAACUGGAGGUACAGGUAUCAGUAUGAACUCAAGGUUUGCUAAGAGGUAUCAGAAAAGAUAUGGGUGUGUGUGUGUGUGUGUGUGUGUGUGUGUGUGUGUGUGUGUGUGUGUUUGUACAUACUUAUUUCCUAGCUCUGUCUGCUGAGUGUAAAUGGAAUCAUAUUCUGUAAUCUUUUGAGAUUUCUUUCUUCCAUUUAAAAUUAUGUGUUUGAG